rnacentral:rRNA from 1 species
GUCUGUGGCCUUACUGCCCUCAAUGCACCCCAUCUCAUCUGUUCUUAGAAGCUAAGCAGGCUUGGGCCUGGUUAGUAUUUGUAUGGGAGACCCAGGGAGGUUAUUUGCA